ensembl:antisense Gm26513 predicted gene, 26513
CGAACCGGAACCGGCUGCUAGGCAAAGGGGUUUCCGGCCGGGCGCGGACCGCAAAGCCCGGGAACCUCCGGGAACCGGAACCUUCUUUACUCUACCGGAAGACCGUUUGGCGGGCGCGGAGGAGGGAAGGGGGUGGGACAAGAGGUCAAAGAGCGAGCUACAGGCUCGCGGGACGCCUGCGCGAGGUGGCGAGGCCCGAGACGUGGAGGGAGCGUUUGACUCGCGUCUCCAUCUCCCUGUCACCCUGUCAGACUGGGGCUUUUUCUCUUCGUCGCACUUGGAGUACUGUUAGUGCGCCCGCCGUCCUUUGGUUUUCUCUGUCCCUCGGCUCCUUGACCCGCUGUCAUCUGGUUCCGUUCGGUGACCUUUUUUUGGCUUACGCACAGGUUUCCAUGGCAGCUGUUCGCUAGGGCCCUAGAUGUUUGGAAACCUGCGCCUUCCCCGACAAAUCCUCAUUUUGAGUUCUAAAUUGAUUUUUACCUCUAGCUUCUGAAAAUUAGUGUGCAUCUUGUCACGCUUGACACGCUUGACUGAUCACAGGAAGUGGGGCUAGGGGGAAGAGCAGAGACUAAGAAACUUUGGGAACACCUUAGCUUAGACUCUUAACAACACACCUAGCCUUAUAUAACUGGAAUAAUUUUAAACAGUGAUCUCUAGUGGGAUUCACCAGAGGUCUUAAACAUGUAAUCAAUGCCAGACUUUUAAAGACAGAAUGGAGGAAAAAUUAACUUGUUCAUUCAAAUUACUUACCGAGCUUCUUAAUUUAAUUACGCCUCUGGCGCAGGCCCUAUUUGGAAAGAGGCUUCAGAAUAGUAUUCUAGACCCAGGUGACUGCCUGUCUGAAUUCACUCUUGAAGAAAGAAAAGCCUCUGGAAUCUGCCAGCCUCAUCUAUUCUCUAAGCAUAAGGAGAUAAACUUGUUUCUUCAGGGGAUCCUGACUUGUUAUGUAUAUAAACGAUUAUAUCACCUUAUAUGCUGAUAUUUUUAUAUGGCCAAGUCCUAAAACCCAGUGGUAUUAAGUGUACCUAGACCAUGUUGACCUUUGACACUUUAAAUAUUCUAUGGAUCUAUUUAUUUGGAUUAAACUUUCUUUACUUCUAGGAAGUAGCCAUGCGUAGAGAGGAGUUUCAGCUGAGAUUUUUCAUGUGCGUGAUUGAGUCUCGCCAAGUAGUCAGGACUACUCAGAGCACAGGUACCAUUGAUUAUGUUAUAGUGACAAGGGAUAUGUUCUCUCAGAGCUAUACAGGAUGAGAGCUUCUGGCAGAAUUAUAAACUUAAGGGGUCGACGGGCUUGUUUUCUAUUCCUAGUAGGAAAAAUAUUUUGUCACCGUGUUGGGGUGUUUUCUUUGUACAAGUAUAAGGGAGAUGCUAUCCUCAUCCCAGGCAAAGGAGGAAGACUUGGGAGCUGAGAACAAGAAACAUGGAACAUGGGAAGGGUGUUGAUUUCUAUUUAAUUUAUAGAUUAUUCUAACCUAUCUGGGGUGACUUGUAGUAGGAGUCCUUGUUGAUACUCAGUGGGCACCCCCAAACAUGUAAGUCAGGACUUAAAGAGAACUUCCACUCUUUUCUAACUGGUAGUGAUAUGUUCUGCUUUGCCUCUGUUAAUACUAAAGGAAUAGAAUCGUUUAGAGGUAGUAAACUAGUUACUGAGAACAAUCCAUUCUCUUAAUCGUCUUUACCGCGUUUAUGCUAAGUGUUUAUUCAAAAGAAGUUCUGAAUAGCUAAGCCUCUUAGGGAAAGUAGAAGAGAAAGGAGCACACCCUCCCUGGUCCCCACCCUGAUGGUGACCCACAGUUAUCGCUUCCCAGCGGGGGAAGCUUCAACCUCCAACAUGACCAUACCGGAGUCAAAGGCAGAUGACCAGUGGAGACUAGACGGUAUGGAUGAUGAUCCAAGCACCGUGGGACCUGUAUCUAUUCCUGACACUGGUGAGGCCUGUGAGUAAACAAUGGGGAUUGGUGGGGAAAGGCGCGGUGAAGAGCAAAAGGUUUGUUCACAGCAUGAUGGUCACGGUGACAAAAUACCCAAUUCGGGGUAAUGUAGAGAAUGAAUUUUAUUUACGGUUUAGGAAACUUAGGAAGCUGGAAGCCCACGAAUAGGCAGCUUCUUUUGUUUGGCUUCUGCUUAGGAUUCCCUUGGUUGAGCCACAUGACAGCAAGAACAUAAGCAAGAAGAAGGAGGGAAUCACACAGUAAGCCAGAUGGGGUCAGGGCGGGGCGCAGUCUGUAUGUCUGUCUUAUAACGGCCUUCUUCAACAGGAGCUGACUGGGACCCAUGGGACCUCAUUAGCUCCUGCCCAGGCCAUUCCCUCCCAGCAGAGCCCAUGAUGCCCCGGAUGCCAUGAUCUCAACACAGGAAACUCUGAGAGAUGUGCUCACAUGGUUUCCAAGCCAUAGCCAUGCUAAGUCACUUGCCUCCCUCAUUACUCUAAGCUAUGUAGUUCGACUUCCAUGUUGUUAGUAAACCUUAUAUAGAAAAACGUGAAACUC